rnacentral:rRNA from 1 species
AUUGAACGCUGGCGGCAUGCCUAACACAUGCAAGUCGAACGAGUAGCGGACGGGUGAGUAAUGUCGGGGAAACUGCCCGAUGGAGGGGGAUAACUACUGGAAACCGUAGCUAAUACCGCAUACCAUCGUAUGUGCCCACAUUGGAUGAGCGAGUAGGGGGGGUAACGGCUCACCUAGGCGACGAUCCCUAGCUGGUCUGAGAGGAUGCGCAGCCACACUGUGACUGAGACACGGCCCAGACUCCUACGGGAGGCAGCAGUGGGGAAGAUUGGGCAAUGGACGAAAGUCUGAUGGAGCCAUGCCGCGUGUAUGAAGAAGGCUUUCGGGUUGUAAAGCACUUUUAGUGAGGAGGCGUUAUUCGCAGAAGAAGCCACGGCUAACUACGUGCCAGCCGCCGCGGUAAUUC